rnacentral:rRNA from 1 species
AGCGGGUCGAAAGCUUGCUUUCGAUGCCGGCGACCGGCGCACGGGUGCGUAACGCGUAUCAAACCUGCCUCAUACUCGGGGAUAGCCUUGCGAAAGUAAGAUUGAUACCCGAUGUUGUUGCUUUCUCGCAUGGGAGGGUGACCAAAGAUUUAUCGGUAUGAGAUGGUGAUGCGUCCGAUUAGGUAGUAGGCGGGGUAACGGCCCACCUAGCCUUCGAUCGGUAGGGGUUCUGAGAGGAAGGUCCCCCACACUGGAACUGAGACACGGUCCAGACUCCUACGGGAGGCAGCAGUGAGGAAUAUUGGUCAAUGGGCGAGAGCCUGAACCAGCCAAGUAGCGUGCAGGAUGACGGCCCUCCGGGUUGUAAACUGCUUUUAGUUGGGAAUAAAAAAGGGGACGUGUCCCUUCUUGUAUGUACCUUCAGAAAAAGGACCGGCUAAUUCCGUGCCAGCAGCCGCGGUAAUACGGAAGGUCCAGGCGUUAUCCGGAUUUAUUGGGUUUAAAGGGAGCGUAGGCGGAUUGUUAAGUCAGCGGUUAAAGGGUGUGGCUCAACCAUGCAUUGCCGUUGAAACUGGCGAUCUUGAGUGCAGACAGGGAUGCCGGAAUUCGUGGUGUAGCGGUGAAAUGCUUAGAUAUCACGAAGAACUCCGAUCGCGAAGGCAGGUGUCCGGGCUGCGACUGACGCUGAGGCUCGAAAGUGUGGGUAUCAAACAGGAUUAGAUACCCUGGUAGUCCACACAGUAAACGAUGUAUACUCGCGGUUUGCGAUAGAUUGUAAGCCGCCAAGCGAAAGCAUUAAGUAUACC